GCACGGAUGGCAGAGUAGCUAUGCAAGGGAUUGCAGAUCCCUGGACCCGGGUGCAAAUCCCGGUCCGUGCUCCA
rnacentral:tRNA from 4 species